GCGGCGUGCUAUACAUGCAAGUCGAGCGGACAGAAGGGAGCUUGCUCCCGGAUGUUAGCGGCGGACGGUGAGUAACACGUGGGUAACCUGCCUGUAAGACUGGGAUAACUCCGGGAAACCGGAGCUAAUACCGGAUAGUUCCUUGAACCGCAUGGUUCAAGGAUGAAAGACGGUUUCGGCUGUCACUUACAGAUGGACCCGCGGCGCAUUAGCUAGUUGGUGAGGUAACGGCUCACCAAGGCGACGAUGCGUAGCCGACCUGAGAGGGUGAUCGGCCACACUGGGACUGAGACACGGCCCAGACUCCUACGGGAGGCAGCAGUAGGGAAUCUUCCGCAAUGGACGAAAGUCUGACGGAGCAACGCCGCGUGAGUGAUGAAGGUUUUCGGAUCGUAAAGCUCUGUUGUUAGGGAAGAACAAGUGCAAGAGUAACUGCUUGCACCUUGACGGUACCUAACCAGAAAGCCACGGCUAACUACGUGCCAGCAGCCGCGGUAAUACGUAGGUGGCAAGCGUUGUCCGGAAUUAUUGGGCGUAAAGGGCUCGCAGGCGGUUUCUUAAGUCUGAUGUGAAAGCCCCCGGCUCAACCGGGGAGGGUCAUUGGAAACUGGGAAACUUGAGUGCAGAAGAGGAGAGUGGAAUUCCACGUGUAGCGGUGAAAUGCGUAGAGAUGUGGAGGAACACCAGUGGCGAAGGCGACUCUCUGGUCUGUAACUGACGCUGAGGAGCGAAAGCGUGGGGAGCGAACAGGAUUAGAUACCCUGGUAGUCCACGCCGUAAACGAUGAGUGCUAAGUGUUAGGGGGUUUCCGCCCCUUAGUGCUGCAGCUAACGCAUUAAGCACUCCGCCUGGGGAGUACGGUCGCAAGACUGAAACUCAAAGGAAUUGACGGGGGCCCGCACAAGCGGUGGAGCAUGUGGUUUAAUUCGAAGCAACGCGAAGAACCUUACCAGGUCUUGACAUCCUCUGACAACCCUAGAGAUAGGGCUUUCCCUUCGGGGACAGAGUGACAGGUGGUGCAUGGUUGUCGUCAGCUCGUGUCGUGAGAUGUUGGGUAGUCCCGCACGAGCGCACCUUGAUCUAGUGCAGCAUCAGUGGCCUCUAGUGACUGCGUGACUAUCGGAGGAGGUGGGAUGACGUCAAUCAUCAUGCCCUUAUGAACCCUG
rnacentral:rRNA from 1 species